rnacentral:rRNA from 1 species
GUAGGUGGCAAGCGUUGUCCGGAAUUAUUGGGCGUAAAGCGCGCGCAGGCGGUUCUUUAAGUCUGAUGUGAAAGCCCACGGCUCAACCGUGGAGGGUCAUUGGAAACUGGAGAACUUGAGUACAGAAGAGGAAAGCGGAAUUCCACGUGUAGCGGUGAAAUGCGUAGAGAUGUGGAGGAACACCAGUGGCGAAGGCGGCUUUCUGGUCUGUAACUGACGCCGAGGCGCGAAAGCGUGGGGAGCAAACAGGGAUUAGAUACCCUGGUAGUCCACGCCGUAAACGAUGAGUGCUAAGUGUUAGGGGGGUUUCCGCCCCCCUUAGUGCUGCAGCUAACGCAUUAAGCACUCCGCCUGGGGAGUACGGCCGCAAGGCUG